CAGGUGUCUAGGAUUCUUCAGGACAGUUCAAACAUAUGCACAAGCAGAUCGUAUAAUAAACUCCCAUGCCUUCAUCAUUGGCCUUCAACAAUGAUCAACCUGUGAGCAAUCUUGCUUCAUCUGUUACACACGCACUACCUUUCCAGUGGAUUAUUUUGGAGAAAACCCAAAUUAUCACAACAUUUCAUCUGGCUUUCUGGUGUGACAAAACAUCCCAGGCUCAUCGUGUAUAUAUAAUGCUGCAGACUUGGACAAGCCAUUUUUUCAAUGAUCCCUGGUUCCUUUUAGUUGGAAAUAGUAUUUAGAAAUUACAACCUGGACACUAGGGUGCCCAUUAAUACUGAGUUGGUCAUCGUUUCCAGGUCGUUUUGGUGAAGAGUGCUAGGAAAUAACUUAAGAUAAAAUAUUUCAUCUACAUUAUCACACCAAAAAGUUCAAAAUAAUUCCUCAAUUAUCAUCAAAUGUUCUAUCAGUGUCCACAUUAUAAUUUGUUGUUGUUUUUUGUUUAUUGGUUGGUUUGCUUUUUUAGUUGGUUUGCUUGAAUCAAGACCUAAAUAUGGUUUAUAUGCUCUUUAAGUCUCUCUUAACUCCUUUCUUUUUUAUCUUGCAAUUUGUUGUUGUUGUAUGAAAGAAUGAAGUCAUAUGGUAUUAUUUACCAUGUUUCUCUUUCCCCUGAAAUUCUUGUAAAUUGCUAGUUAUAUCUUAGAGGCUUGAUCAAAUUUAGGUUUGAUUUUUUUGUCAGACUGUUUUGUAGAAAAUGUAAUCUUCCUUCAUGAGAUACGUAAUGUCGGUAUUUUUUGUGAUGUUUUGUGAUUACUGUGUAGGUACACUACUUCUAUAAGAGUUCCAUUCUAAUUCUGUUUUCUCUCCUCAUUUAUUAGUCCUCAUAAUUCUACAAAGAGAAUUUUCCUCUAGUUGACUCUUUUUGAGGCACAAUUCUGAAAGAAAGGCAAGAUAAAUGUUUAAUGCUUUACCUUUAUUUACCGGUUUUUCAAAUAAUUGUUUGAAAAUAAAAGUUGUUUGUUUCAUUAUGAACUCAUGGAUUGAAACAUAUGUGAUAUGUUUCAAUCCAUUACAGUCAGAUUGUAUCACUUGUGAUUAGUGGGAGCUCCACGGUGGCUCUAGAGUCCUUUUGACACAAUUAGUAUUUGUCAGCGUUCUGGCUUUCUGGUGUGACAAAACAUCCCAGGCUCAUCUUGUAUAUAUAAUGCUGCAGGCUUGGACAAGCCAUUUUUUCUAUGAUCCCUGGUUCCUUUUAGUUGGAAAUAGUAUUUAGAAAUUACAACCUGGACACUAGGGUGCCCAUUAAUACGGAGUUGGUCAUUGUUUCCAGGUCGUUUUGGUGAGGAGUGCUAGGAAAUAAUUUUUAAGACAAAAUAUAUCACAAUUCAAAUUCAUACUUCUAAUCCAAAUUCAGACUACACUUCUUUGUUCAGCUAUGAUGAAGUAUCUUAUAUCAGAGCAACUAUUUCAUGAAAACCAGCUGUGAAAGUUAAAUUUGAAAUGAAGAAAACCGCUUUAUGGCAUUGGAGAAAAGCAAAGUCAAACAUGAUUCAAGGGGCCAACAUUUCUGAGAGAAGGCAAUACAUUAGUGUGAAUCAGACUUUCUCCAACAAUUUUUUUCCUUGAGACACUUGCUGGGAAGAAAACAGAAACCUGAAGCUUUGUUUUUCUCACAGAGCACUAGCCUUGUGUCAAUGUUCCUCCAGUUACUUGGUUGUCUAAAGCUCAUUCUCUAGUAAAUUCCUCAGGAGGGUCACAUAGGAAUAAUAUUUUCCUGAGUUCUUACAUAUUCAUAAAAGUUUGUAGCCCUUAUAUUUGAAAGUCUUUUUGGCUGGAUAUAAAAUCUUUGGCUCACAUUUUCUUUCCUUAAGUAUGUUAAAUAUGUUACUCCAUUUUUUUCUUGCAUAAAGUGCUGCUUUCAAAAAGUCUAAUGACAAUCUGUUCCUCUUACUCUUGUAAAUAAGUUACCUAGUUGUUCAAAACUUUUUUUAAAAUUUGAAGUCCAAUAGCCUCAAUGGUGACUGUUCUGGGUCAGUUUUCAUAAGUACAUAAUGUGCUCUUCCAGUAUGUAGUUUCAAAUAUUUUAAUUUCAGGAAAGCUUUCGCAAAUUAUGAUCUUAUUAUUUGCUCUGUUUCAUUGUUUUGGUUUUCUUUUUCAGAGACUUCUAUUAUCUGUAUGUUGGCUCUUCUUUGCUUGUCUUCUAUAUUUGUCAUUUCCUCUUAAAACCUUUUAAUCUCAUUUAUGAAUUGUUGUUGAGUUUAUUUGCUCUUGUUCCUUGUAGUUUAGCCUGUAUUUUUGAAAUGAUUUUAUGUUAUCAAAUUCUUCUUUUUCAAUGUCUUUUUUAUCUCCCUUUCUCCAAUAAUUUCACUUCUAACAUUUUCUAAUUAGGUUUAAAUUGAUGAUUUUGAUAUAUUUAAACUAUGGGGCCACCACUGCCACCUUCCCCAAAUCCUCUGCCUUUCUUGAAUUUAUGUCUUUUUGUAUGUAUUUGUAACCUCAAUGCCUGGCACAUAACAAGUGCUCAAUAGAUGCUUGCUAAAUCAUAUUCACCAUCACUGACAUGAUCUUUACCAAUGCAAGGCAAAGUGAUCUCUUUUAUCAAAUGAAUAUAUAUUGAACAUAGGGUGUAUGAGAAAUCUUUGUAAACCUAAGUUAUUAAGGGAUUAGACAAAAGAACAUACAGUAAUCAAGUUAUUAGAAUACAUAAAUAAAUUUACAACUUGAUUGUGUGAAUUUCUGCUAAAGAUAAACCAAAGCAAAUGUUUCCAUUUAUUGUUGAUGUUGCCUUUGAAAUAUACAGAACUACCUGGCUCAAGAAGAAGACUCAGGUUGAGAUUGGGACGUAUUGGGGAAGAGAUAUGGAAAGAGCUCAGGGUGUCAGAGAAGGCAGAAGGGCAGAAACACAUUGUUUCUGCUUAUGAAAAUAGUGAUUUAUGUUCUAAAAACAAUUAAACACAUAUCUGGUUGUCUUGGAAGGAAGGGAGGGGGUUAAAUUAAAGGGAGGAAAAAUCAGUAAAGCACAAGACAAAUAACUUGAGACUGAAAGUUAUAUUGUUAAAGCUUUUGCCUUCUUCAACUGUUAUAUCUAUGUGAAUCAGGCUUUUCCUUACACCAUACGACAAAAACAAAGUACAGAAAUAAGUGCAUGGACUACUACUCAGCCUAUAAAAAAGAAGAAAACCCUGUUAUUUGUGAGAAUGUGGAUGAAACUGGAGGACAUUAUGCUAAGUGAAAUAACUCCAGCACAAAAAAAACCCACAAAAUACUACAUGAUUUCACUUGUAUGUGGAAUCUAAAAAAGUCAAACUUAAAGAAGCAGAAAGUAGAAUGGUGGUUACCAGAGGCUGAGGGUGGGGUGGGGUAAGAGCAUGAGGGGACAUUGACCAAAGGGUAUAAAGUUCUCAUUAGGCAGAAGGAAUAAAUUUGUAAGUUAUUGCACAGCAAGGUGAACACAGUCAAUAAUAACAUAUGAUUCAAAAUUGCUAAGAGAAUAGAUUUUAAAUGUUCUCACCAUAAAAAUAUAAGUAUGUGAGAUGAUGGAUAUAGUAAUUAGCUUUAUUUAAUUAUUCUACAGUGUAUACAUAUACCAAAGCAUCACAUUGUAC
rnacentral:lncRNA from 1 species